UCGAAGUUUGACCAAAGACGUUUUGCGGCAGGGAUUCAGCUUAUGGACAGCUGCUUUGAGUCUGGAAGUUUGUCAGGUAAAUGUUGUUUGUUUACUCGCGGGACUGUGGUUUUCUCCUUUCACAGAUCAACUAACACUAAGUGGUUCAAUAAAUAUAUCAUACAUUUUGCCAUUUUGGACAUAAUACUGAUCUGACAAAGUUAGUGGUAUUGGGUGUAGCAACGAUUAAUAUUCUGUUCUUUUCAGAAAUCUUAUACAUAGACUAUAUUUUUUAACGGGCAGGAAAAUAUUUCCUACAGGCUACACAGUUCGGAUACAUCUUUCUAUUCACGUUUUACUGUACGGACCAUUUUAUGGAAAACAAAAAAAACUUCUGUUCAGCAAGAAAAGAAUACCGGUGGUAUUUUAAUCUUUGUCGGCACUGUAACGAUUAUUACUAUCAGCUUGUCUUUAGCCAGUAUCAUCGGAGAACCUUGCAACAAAACCAGAGACUGUCUGCCAAGGCACUCCGUGUGUAACUCGAAGAACGUGUGCGAGUGCGAUGCAAAUUCCAGAGCCACAUCAGACAAUUUUUGGUGCAUUGGGACCGGUUACAAAGCACUCGGCGACAGUUGUACCACGGGAGAUAAGUGUAGGAUAGCAGCGGACUGUCAAUCCGGCAAAUGCGCAUGCGUCAAAUGGCACGCCCCUUGGGGCAAAGAAGAGAAGUGGUUCGGAAUUCCGGCGUCAAGGUUCAGUCAGUGUGAAAACACUAAUAAUACUCUGAACAGUUGUAACGGAACAACAUUUGCUCCACAAAACCCGUAAUGUCAAUCAGAGCAGGACUUCAUACUUCAGUGUACACUCGUCGGCGAUCCAACAAAACUGAAUCAAAAUACAAAGCUAGGAGUGAAUGACCUUCUAAAAUAACUCCCUUCUUGCUGUACUAUUUUCUAUACUAUAUAAAUUAAAAUACUGUACAUAAAUUAAGGUGCAAAUCAUCGCAUGAAUAAACAAGAAUUCAAGUAGAUUUGAGUGUUUGAAAGAUUAUUUUUGCUGAUUUACAGAAAUGAUGAAUUAAUCGACUGAAUAAUAAACAGUCUGUCUGCAUGUUUA